rnacentral:lncRNA from 1 species
UACAAAAUCAAUAUAGUUUUGGCAUUACACAAUAUCAUGAAAAUGUUUAGAUUAAACAAUCUUAGUGUUUUGGUCAAGCACACAUUACCACUUUUAAAACAUCAAUAAUAUAAUCCACAAUACAAUUGUCAUCAUCGAAUCAUGUUUAUUCAUCUUAAAUAAGACGGGGGAAUAUAGUUUUCCAAUAUAGAAUUAUUUAUCAUAUAAUAAUGCAAAGGAUUGGAAUUAAAUCAUAAUUUGGGAUCAUCCAUAAGGAAAAGAAAACAUAUGUUAUAUGUAUAAUAUAUACCUUUACCCUUUAUCAAGAAGCAUUCUGUAUUGAAGUUUAAAUAAAGACAUUGACAACAGAUAUUCGUCUUACAAAAUGUGCACAGUAUCAAUGCAUACACAUUACAGUCAUUAUAAUGUUUAAAUUCUAUUGAAUCAUCUAUAUUUAAAACAGUGAACAAUGAACACAUUGGUCUUUGCAAUCGUUAUUCAGAUCCAAAAUAAAGCACUACGAACAUUUAAAUAUAAAUCAUUUAAAUAACCGUUUUAAUUGUACAUAAAGUUGUCAAAGCGGGACACCAAAAUGUUAAUUGUUCAAUGUUAGGUAAUAGCUACAGUACUCAUAUUGCAGUUCAUAUUUUAGAUUGGGUAUAUUGGUUGAAAUGAAAGCAUAUACAUGUAUAUCAUCCGAUGAAGCGUACAAAGUCUGGGUUGGCUCUUUUCUAAAGACUGUAUAUUUGCAAUUAAAUUCACGAGGUUGUUGAUCGGUAACCGUUGUCCACGUGUAUGUCCUCAUACAUUUCAAAGUAAUAUCAUAUAAUGAGACUUAUAAUCAAAUUCAAUCAUGCAUAAGACACAACUGGUGACAGUGUGCUGCAGGGUUUGCUUAAACUAUCGGAUCACUUUACAUCUUACUCGGCUUUUGAUGGUUUCAUGUCUCUUUUUUCUUAACAGUUUAUAAAUGUGACCUACCGAAUUAGACUAUUUACCGGAUUUGUUAUCUCAUAAACAACACGACGGGUGCCACAUGUGGAGCAGGGUCUGCUUACCCUUCCGGGGCACCUGAGAUCACCCCUAGAUUUUGGUGGGGUUCGUGUUGUUUAUUCUUUUGUUUUCUAUGUUGUGUUAUGUGUACUAUUGUUUGUCUGUUUGUCCUUUUUAUUUUUAGCCAUGGCGUUGUCAGUUUAUUGUCGAUUUUUUUUUCUAAGUUUUUAUCUGCAAUUCCACCUUCUCUAAUACAUGUAAUAGAUGAUGUCUGUGUAAUGACAUAUUCAUAUUCUGAUGAAUGAAUCGAUAUAUUUAAGAAAGCUGAUUUUGCUGACA